GAUGAACGCUGGCGGCGUGCCUAAUACAUGCAAGUCGAGCGAACAGACGAGGAGCUUGCUCCUCUGACGUUAGCGGCGGACGGGUGAGUAACACGUGUAUAACCUACCUAUAAGACUGGGAUAACUUCGGGAAACCGGAGCUAAUACCGGAUAAUAUAUUGAACCGCAUGGUUCAAUAGUGAAAGACGGUUUUGCUGUCACUUAUAGAUGGAUCCGCGCCGCAUUAGCUAGUUGGUAAGUUAACGGCUUACCAAGGCGACGAUGCGUAGCCGACCUGAGAGGGUGAUCGGCCACACUGGAACUGAGACACGGUCCAGACUCCUACGGGAGGCAGCAGUAGGGAAUCUUCCGCAAUGGGCGAAAGCCUGACGGAGCAAGGCCGCGUGAGUGAUGAAGGUCUUCGGAUCGUAAAACUCUGUUAUUAGGGAAGAACAAAUGUGUAAGUAACUAUGCACGUCUUGACGGUACCUAAUCAGAAAGCCACGGCUAACUACGUG
rnacentral:rRNA from 1 species